rnacentral:rRNA from 1 species
GAUGAACGCUAGCGGCAGGCCUAAUACAUGCAAGUCGAGGGGUAGAAGAGGCUUGCUUCUUUGAGACCGGCGCACGGGUGCGUAACGCGUAUGCAACCUACCUUCAUCUGGGGGAUAGCCCGGAGAAAUCCGGAUUAAUACCGCAUAAAAUCACAGGAUGGCAUUAUCCAAUGAUCAAACAUUUAUGGGAUGGAGAUGGGCAUGCGUGUCAUUAGCUAGUUGGCGGGGUAACGGCCCACCAAGGGGACGAUGACUAGGGGAUCUGAGAGGAUGGCCACCCACACUGGGACUGAGACACGGACCAGACUCGUACGGGAGGCAGCAGUAAGGAAUAUUGGUCAAUGGAGGCAACUCUGAGCCAGCCAUGCCGCGUGCAGGAAGACUGCCCUAUGGGUUGUAAACUGCUUUUAUUCGGGAAUAAACCUUAUUACGUGUAAUAAGCUGAAUGUACCGAAGGAAUAAGGAUCGGCUAACUCCGUGCCAGCCGCCGCCGUAA